rnacentral:rRNA from 1 species
AUUGAACGCUGGCGGCAGGCCUAACACAUGCAAGUCGAGCGGGAACUUCGGUUCUAGCGGCGGACGGGUGAGUAAUGCGUAGGAAGCUACCCGACAGAGGGGGAUACCAGUUGGAAACGACUGUUAAUACCGCAUAAUGUCUACGGACCAAAGUGUGGGACCUUCGGGCCACAUGCUGUCGGAUGCGCCUACGUGGGAUUAGCUAGUUGGUGAGGUAAUGGCUCACCAAGGCGACGAUCCCUAGCUGGUUUGAGAGGAUGAUCAGCCACACUGGAACUGAGACACGGUCCAGACUCCUACGGGAGUCAGCAGUGGGGAAUAUUGGACAAUGGGCGCAAGCCUGAUCCAGCCAUGCCGCGUGUGUGAAGAAGGCCUUCGGGUUGUAAAGCACCUUCAGCGAGGAGGAAGGGUUGUGUGUUAAUAGUACACAGCUUUGACGUUACUCGCAGAAGAAGCACCGGCUAACUCUGUGCCAGCCGCCGCAGUAAAAC